rnacentral:rRNA from 1 species
GAUGAACGCUAGCUACAGGCUUAACACAUGCAAGUCGAGGGGAAACGACAUCGAAAGCUUGCUUUUGAUGGGCGUCGACCGGCGCACGGGUGAGUAACGCGUAUCCAACCUGCCCACCACUUGGGGAUAACCUUGCGAAAGUAAGACUAAUACCCAAUGACGUCUCUAGAAGACAUCUGAAAGAGAUUAAAGAUUUAUCGGUGAUGGAUGGGGAUGCGUCUGAUUAGCUUGUUGGCGGGGUAACGGCCCACCAAGGCGACGAUCAGUAGGGGAUCUGAGAGGAAGGUCCCCCACAUUGGAACUGAGACACGGUCCAAACUGCUACGGGAGGCAGCAGUGAGGAAUAUUGGUCAAUGGACGAGAGUCUGAACCAGCCAAGUAGCGUGCAGGAUGACGGCCCUAUGGGUUGUAAACUGCUUUUAUAAGGGAAUAAAGUGAGUCUCGUGAGACUUUUUGCAUGUACCUUAUGAAUAAGGACCGGCUAAUUCCGUG